CUGCAAUCGCCAUGUGACCAGGGAAGAAGAUGCCAGUGAAAGGCAUCCUCCAUAAGAUAAGUCUUAUGAUUAUGGAUGAUAAUUAAGACUGAGCUAGCAAGCAUGACCAAGGAUGAGGAUAAAUGACAAUCAAGUUGGGAGAGCCGGAUAAUUUCUCAGUUAUGGGAAGUCAUUUGCCUGCUUCCUUACCAGCCGUAAUGCAGAGAUUCCGCAGACAGUGGAAGGAGAGAGAGUGGUGGUUAAUGCAGAGACUUGUAGCUGGUCACAGUGCUGAGGAUGAGAGACUGAGGUGUCCUCGGCUUCAAAGACCUCAGCCUGCUGCAUAGCAUCUCAUCUGGGAGGCUUAAGUCACCCUAGCCCUCCCAUGUCCGACUGCUGGCUCCACCUCCUUCUGAACUGCUGCUUCUCCAAUCUCCUGUGACUCAAUGAAUGGGUCAGUUGAAUGGCUCUGGCAUUUGCCCUGUUGCCCGGUUCCAGCGUUGGAGCCAUGCCCUACUCCUCUCACAAUCCAGAGAUAACUCACCAGUGAGCAAGGACUGGUGGCUUCACCUUCAAAAUAUUUCUAAGAUGUGAGCAUGGAGGACUGGCCUGGAGGACUUAAACAACCAGCCGUCUCUAGUUCCCACCCAUUUUCUCUAAUUGUUCUCCACACACUAGCCAGAGUGACUUCCUGGGCAGGAAGAGGACACGCCCUCGCCAGCACAUCUGGAAUGGAACCCAAGAUCUCAUGUGGUCUAGGGGCUAGUCUGAUGGCCCUCAGGACUUGCUUCCUAAGCAUCUCUGUCCCUGUCUCUCUGUCUCUCUUCUCUCUUCUCUCUGUCUCUCUGUCUCUCUGUCUCUCUGUCUCUCUCUGUCUGUCUCUCUCUGUCUAUCUCUCGCUCUCUUUCUCCUCAUCCUCUUCCUCCUUGUCACCUUCCCUCCCUCUUGCCCUCUCCAGGAACCACACUGUUGCUAUCUUGGAACACAGAAGGUACACUCUUGCCUCACGUCUCCUGAAGUUUGCUCCUACAGCACAAGGAUACGUUUUCCUCCAGAGAUGUCCAGGGCUUAUUCUCUCAUCUUACAUCGGUAUCGAUUCAGACAUCACAUCUUGUCCCAGGAAGAAACCAGCCUUCUCGAUAUGUUCUAGCACUUUGCUCUGCUCUGUUUUCCUCCCAACACUUUUCACCAUUUGCUCCUCUCUUGUCCAUUGUCUUUUAAUUGUCCAUCUCUCUCAGUAGAACUUAGACCCUCUAGAGGCAGGGGGCUUCAAGCCUUUUGCUUCUUGUUGGAUCUGUGAGGAUACAGCCACACAGCACACUCUCAGCAGCAGCUUUAAGGACAGAUGGAUGGAUAGAUGGACGAACAGACGGAUGGAUGGAGGAUAUGAGCUCAUUUCUUUCUGUGAUAUAUGUGGGUUCUGAGGGACUUGACUCCUUUUUGGAGGAAUACAGCCCCAGCCACACUUGUCCUCUUCAACAGCAACAGCAGAAAUUUGUGAUGAGGGGAGUGUUAACAAGGAAAGGCAUGAGAAAGGAUGAAGAGACGAGAAGAAGUGGCUCAUAAUGGAGAAAAUUUUCCAAAGACAAAUUGGGAGCUCAUUUCCAUCUCUCAGCUGCCUCCUGCUACAUGAUGUCCAUGACAAUUAAAUGCCGCAGAAGAGUGUGGCAGAAUCCAAAUAAACAUCGGUGUGGAAUAAAUUCGUCAUCCCUCCAGCACUGCUGGAGACAGGCAGAGCUCUCCCUCAGGUUUCUGGGACGCAUCACUGGCUAAGGCACUAAUUCACACAAGGACACGAAUAAUGUCAUCUGGAUGAGCUCUUCACUUCAUAGAGCCAAGUUUCCUGUGCCUCCAUCAAGGCCAUCCUGCAGGAGACUGUGCCUGUAGUCUGCUUGGUCCUUCAUUCUUUGCAAAUGAGAGACUCAUUCUUCCAGAUUAUUAGUUUCUUUCUUGUUACUGUGAAAAAAAAUACAUUACAAAAACAAUUUAGGAAGGAGGAUUUGCUUUGGCCCACAGUUUGAGGGAACAGUCUACCAUGAUGUUUAAGUCCAACAAGAUACAUCAUGAAGGCAGGAUGGCAAGAUUAGGUGGCAUCUGUAGUCAAAAGGCAGAGAGAGACGGAUGCUGAUGCUAACGUUGUCUUCUCUCAUUUCCUCUGGAACUCCAGCCUUUGAACGGCACUGGCAACAUAUAGUAUGGGCCUUCCCAUCUCCAUUAGCCCAGUCUAGAAAAUCCAUCACAGAUAUGCCCAAAGAUUUGUCUCCUCAAUGGCUCUAAGUCCUGUCAAAUUGACAAUCAAUAUCAACCACCACACCAAGGUACUAAGAGUGAUGGCUACUUAUGGCUCUUCAUUGAGCCUGGGCAUUGCUCUCAGCCCAAGUUACCCCAAGCCUCAAGCCCCAACUCCUCAGAUCUCAAUGACUGGUAGUUGUGGGGAGGGCAGUCUCAAGGUGGGAUGCCCUGGAGGGGUUAACCCAGCUCCAGAGUUCUCCAGAGGAUAAACUGACACUGUCAUGUUGCUGUUCAGUUGGUCUUUUUGCCUGAACCUGUGUUAUCUGUCCUUUCCAGAUAUUGUUCCUAAAUACUGUCCUUAAUAAAGCUCCUGUUUUCUGAUCAUAGGGGAUCAACCUAUGACACCCUCAAAUAAUUUCAUGAUACAUGGUUGUUGGUCUGCUGGGACAGUGACAUGCUAAGCCCUCAGAAGUUGAAAGGGUCCCCAUACUGGUCCACAUCUCCAAGCCAGAUGUUUAGUUAUAAGCAGCAUUUUCCAGUUACCCCAGAGGUGAAGUAAGUACUUGACAAAUUUGGGGUGACGCAGUGAGAACUGGGACCAGGAAAGAGUAACAGGUUUAGCGACAAUGGUAGCCUUGUCUUCUUUGUAAUUCUGAGGAUGCGUGUCUCAGUCUCUGACAAUGUGGUUGGAAGGCUCCCUGUUCUGCAAACUAAGGGGCCCAGAUACACUCCUCAGAGAACAUCUGAAGCUGCAAAGUAGCUGGCCUGUGAACGAGAGGGUCUUCAUUCCCAUGUAGCUGAUGGCAUAAUCCUGGUGUUUGCUCUCGUUCCUGCUACCUCUCUGUGUAUGGGCAGCCAAGCUCUUCCUUUCUUGUACAAGAUACAUGAAGAGUUACACUCAAGGCUUCCUGGAGGCUGUAUCCAGA
rnacentral:lncRNA from 1 species